AUUGAGCGCUGGCGGCAUGCCUUACACAUGCAAGUCGAACGGUAACAGGUCUUCGGAUGCUGACGAGUGGCGAACGGGUGAGUAAUACAUCGGAACGUGCCUAGUAGUGGGGGAUAACUACUCGAAAGAGUGGCUAAUACCGCAUGAGAUCUACGGAUGAAAGCAGGGGAUCGCAAGACCUUGUGCUACUAGAGCGGCCGAUGGCAGAUUAGGUAGUUGGUGGGAUAAAAGCUUACCAAGCCGACGAUCUGUAGCUGGUCUGUGAGGACGAUCAGCCACACUGGGACUGAGACACGGCCCAGACUCCUACGGGAGGCAGCAGUGGGGAAUUUUGGACAAUGGGCGCAAGCCUGAGCCAGCAAUGCCGCGUGCAGGAUGAAGGCCUUCGGGUUGUAAACUGCUUUUGUACGGAACGAAAAGCCCUGGGUUAAUACCCUGGGGUCAUGACGGUACCGUAAGAAUAAGCACCGGCUAACUACGUGCCAGCCGCCGCAGUAA
rnacentral:rRNA from 1 species